GUACCAGAGUGAUAAGGCUAGUGGACAUGGCACCUGCCCGGUAAGCAGAAGGUUGUGGGUUCGAUUCCCGCCCCUGGACA
rnacentral:tRNA from 1 species